rnacentral:rRNA from 1 species
AAUCCACCGGCUUAAUCGGUGAACUGCUUUCCAAACUAUCGGGCUUGAGUGUGAGAGAGGAGAAUGGAACUCCUGGUGUAAGGGUGAAAUCUGUAGAGAUCAGGAGGAACACCAUUGGCGAAGGCGAUUCUCUGGAUCACAACUGACACUGAACUGCGAAAGCUAGGGGAGAGAACAGGAUUAGAUACCCUGGUAUUCCUAGCCGUAAACGAUGAGUACUGGGUGUUUCCUGUAACAGGGAGGCGCCGAAGUUAACACAUUAAGUACUCCACCUGGGGACUACGACCGCAAGGUUGAAACUCAAAGAAAUUGACGGGGGCCCGCACAAGCGGUGGAACAUGUGGUUCAAUUCGACGCUACGCGAAGAACCUCACCAGGGCUUGACAUAUAGGUAGUAGGAACCUGAAAGGGGGACGACUCGUUAAGCCGAGUGCCUAUACAGGUGUUGCAUGGCUGUCGUCAGCUCGUGCCGUGAGGUGUUGGGUUAAGUCCCGCAACGAGCGCAACCAUCAUCCUUAGUUGCUACCGAGGGACUCGAAAGGGUUCUGGUCGAGCACUCUAAGGAGACUGCCCGUGAUAAACGGGAGGAAGGUGGAGAUGACGUCAAGUCCGUAUGGCCCUUAUGCCCUGGGCUACACACGUGUUACAAUGGGAUGUACAGAGCGUUGCCAAACCGCGAGGUGGAGCUAAUCGCAAAAAGCAUCCCCCAGUUCAGAUUGGAGUCUGCAACCCGACUCCA